ensembl:lncRNA
CUGUGAGCCACACAGCUUCCUGGAACUCUGGAACAUUGCAAUGUGAGAACUCCCGUUCUGGGCACCUCUGUGGGCCGCCCAGAACCCCCUCGGGAAGGGGAGAAGGAUACUUGCAGGAGAAGCUCCAGGAGGCCAGGAGGGGCCAACUCUUCUGCUUCCUGCUCUGCUGGGUGUUUGAAAAUAGGAACCCCCUGGAGUCUGGCCAGGAUGGUGAAGUUCCCGCAGUGACCCAGCUGCGUCUACACUGCGCGUCCCUCUGCGCACCGGCUCCCCUGCGCCAGGCUGGGUCUGCGGGCACUCUGCUCCGGACUGAAGACCGGCCAGGACGCAGCUCGGACCGCCACAGGAAGGGGCAGACGCGCCAAGGCCUUAGCUGAUUGAGCCUUAAAACCAAGAUUGUUGAC